UCUUAUCAGGAUACAAACAAGACUACACAACUCAAUCCAUUCUUAACAUUGCGUAGUAAAUUCAUAGAACAAUGAAUUGUUAGCAGACAGAGUCCAUUCUGUAGCAAAGUGCCGUAUCUAGAAAGUAACAGGAAAAAAUAGCAAAAUAACCCAACGUACCUAUACUUUCCAUUAGCAGAUAAUCUAGUAUGUUUCCUCAAAUGACCUGCAGAUAAGGCAUGCAAAAUUACGAAAGAGAAAAGAUCUUAUGAUUCAGCAGAUGUUAAUAUGACAGGCACUCAGGUCUUUUUGUAUAUCAGACACUUCGUCACCAUUUUCUUCCCAAACCAUGGGUGAAGGAGCAUUUCAAACCCGUGUUCUUUUAACAAUCCGCUUGAAGGCCUUCAAAGACCUACAUGGUCACCCUAAUCAGAUUUGGAUAUUUACAUAAUCCACCCUUAUAUAUCAUAUUUCAGACUCAAAUGCAUAGCACUAACACCAGAUCCCUUGCUCUCAUAGUCUCAGGAUAUCAAACCUCAAACUCACAUAAAUUUUCAUAUUUGGCUAUUGAUAAUCCGCAGGAUUGGGGUGGGGGGGUUCUAACCCAAAGGCUACAGCCACACAUUCAUAAGGCAUGCCAAGUGAAUUGAGUACCUAAAGAUAACCUUAAUUCCUCCAAAUCUAAUGAACCACACCUACAGACAUGGUUGUGCUCAACUUUAAAAUCCACACUUUCUCUGGCUAUAAUCAUCUCUCGAAGAAUUUGUACCGAAAGGAGUAAGAAAGCCCUGAAGCAUGAUAUGUAUUAUCAAAGAGACAAGUAUCAUUAUCAAGGAAGCAUUGUUAUGCAUUGCAAAUAAGCAACAUGUAAACACUGAGGAGAAACAUUUAAUAAUCCACAUUUAAGGUGUAAUUUACUCGCAGACAGCUUGCCCACAAUCAUCCUGCCUAGGCAACCACCCCCUAUCAAACCACAUGCUAACUUGAGAUGGUGCACAUAAGAAAUCAGAGGAAUGAAGGUAUGCCCAAUCAUCAAGAUCUAAUUGAAUGCUUAAAAGAUAUGAGGAUAUGAAAAUGUAAAAAAUAAAUGAGCAAUAAUUGAUAAGAAAACUUGAAAAUUACAUUGGCACAUAAAAAAUCCAUAACAAAACUUGAAAAUUAAAUCAGUGCAUAAAAAAUCCAUAACACAGAUAAAAUUGUGCAAUAUAAAUAGUAUUGUUUAAAUAAGACUUAAGUUUUUUUUUACUUUCCAUGGCGUUAAGUGAUAAUAGAUGGCCAUGCAAUUAAAUCAGACGUAUCAUUAAAAUAUUUGCUUUUAAACCUACUCUCUUAAAAAAUAUAAAUUAAACUACUCUUUUAAAAACUAUAAAAUUAUCGAUACUGAUUGAGUCUGUUCACAAGGCUUCUUGACAUACAUAGAAACCAUUCCCUUCUUAUCAACCAUCAUUUGCCUUAAAAAGAUGUUUAGGAUAUGCGAGUUAAACAAUAGUCAAACUAUGAUCUCAGAAGAUAAAUAAUUAUGCUUGAUGAAGUAACUAUGAAGCCUCAACAAUAUUUCAAGACUAAA